GUACUUGCUUCGGCAGUACACGUAGUAAAAUUACAACGAUACAGAGAAGUUUAGCAUAGCCCCCUGCGCAAGGAUGACACGGAAAAUCGAGAAAAAAAAAACAAGUUAUU